UACCAACACUAUAUGCACCAACUUACUUCACUGUAGCAAUUAUUAUGGAGAAAAACACGACGCCUAGAAAAUUUAAGGGAAAGUAGCUUGUCAAUAGGGCGAAAGACAAGCAAAGAUAUUCGUAAAUUACUACUUAAAUAUUUAGUUUGAUAACUAGCUAGAUUGAUCUUGUUUAAAUAAUAUUUAAGCUAAUUUUGAACACUUUGGGUUUGCAAAAACAAAGAGAAGUUCUACCCCAUCCAAAAACAAGCUUGUCCAAGCACGGUCUAUUUAGCAAAUUAGUCGAAGAUCUGCACGUUGCAC
rnacentral:lncRNA from 1 species